rnacentral:rRNA from 1 species
UACGUAGGUGACGAGCGUUAUCCGGAAUUAUUGAGCGUAAAGCGCCCGCAGGCGGCUGUUCAAGUCUGACGUGAAAUCGCUCGGCUUAACUGGGCGGGGUCGUUGGAAACUGAAUAGCUUGAGGCAAGGAGAGGGGCGUGGAAUUCCCGGUGUAGUGGUGGAAUGCGUAGAUAUCGGGAGGAACAUCAGUGGCGCAAGCGGCGCCCUGGCCUUAGCCUGACGCUCAGGGGCGAAAGCGUGGGGAGCGAACGGG